UGGGGAAUAUUGCACAAUGGGCGCAAGCCUGAUGCAGCCAUGCCGCGUGUGUGAAGAAGGCCUUCGGGUUGUAAAGCACUUUCAGCGAGGAGGAAGGGUUCAGUGUUAAUAGCACUGUUCAUUGACGUUACUCGCAGAAGAAGCACCGGCUAACUCCGUGCCAGCAGCCGCGGUAAUACGGAGGGUGCAAGCGUUAAUCGGAAUUACUGGGCGUAAAGCGCACGCAGGCGGUUUGUUAAGUCAGAUGUGAAAUCCCCGCGCUUAACGUGGGAACUGCAUUUGAAACUGGCAAGCUAGAGUCUUGUAGAGGGGGGUAGAAUUCCCAGGUGUAGCGGUGAAAUGCGUAGAGAUCUGGAGGAAUACCGGUGGCGAAGGCGGCCCCC
rnacentral:rRNA from 1 species